GUGCCAGCAGCCGCGGUAAUACGUAGGGGGCAAGCGUUGUCCGGAAUCAUUGGGCGUAAAGAGCGUGUAGGCGGCCCGGUAAGUCUGUUGUGAAAGUCCAGGGCUCAACCCUGGAAAGCCGAUGGAUACUGCCGGGCUAGAGUUCGGAAGAGGCGAGUGGAAUUCCUGGUGUAGCGGUGGAAUGCGCAGAUAUCAGGAGGAACACCUAUAGCGAAGGCAGCUCGCUGGGACGACACUGACGCUGAGACGCGAAAGCGUGGGGAGCAAACAGGAUUAGAUACCCUGGUAGUCC
rnacentral:rRNA from 1 species